CUGUCGAAGAGACGCGAUGAAUCCCGCCCUGUAAUUCGGGCACCUCGGACGGGAGGAGCAAGUGGUGCGACCGGCUUUUCGUUGG
rnacentral:ncRNA from 14 species